rnacentral:lncRNA from 1 species
CUGGUGAGUACAAAGGGAAACCAAAGAACAAUGUAGAUUACCUGAUACCACUUAUAUAAAAAGUAAAAUAUCUAUUUAUAACAUAUAUACAAAGAAGGAAAGAGAAAGAUAAAACAUGGUUGGGGUGGCACUUAUGGAUAUUCAAGAGGAGAUUUUCACAUUUUACUUUAAUUACAUUCAUUCCAGGAAACAAAAAUUCCUGCUCUCAUGGAGUUCAUGUUUAAUGAGAGAGACAGACAAUGAAGAAAAUAACAGAGUAUGUCAGAUGGUACUAUUUGUUGUAAAAAAAACAAAGCAGGAAAAGGGUAAGGAGAACCAUGGGUACAAGGUGGAAGUUCUAAUUUUAAAUAGAAUUGUGUCGAGGUAGAUACCACUUUAAGGUGAUUUCAAAGUCAAGACAUAAAGGAGGUAAGGGAGUGAGCCUUGUGCAUUUUUAAACAAGAGCCUUCUGAUCAGAGGGAGCAGUUUGUGCACAGACCUUGAGGCCUACCUGGAGAAGACCUGCUAAGUUUGAGGUACAUUGAAGAGCCAGUAUAAUGAAGGCUGAGUGAACAAGGCAAAGAGAUGCAGGGAAUGAGGAUGGGCCCUGGGCAAGAACUUUGGCACUCACUCUGAGUUACUUGUUGAGCCACUGAAGAGUUUUAAGAAAAGGGAAAGGUAUGUUCUGACUGUGUUUCAAUUGGAACUUUCCGCCUGUCAUGUCAAGGAAGACCAGUCAGAAGGGUACUAUCAUAAACCCAAGGAAAGAUUAUAGUGCCUUUGACUGUGGUGGUGGCAGUGAGGGUGAUAAGAAAUGGUGGUAACCUGACUAUAUAUGUUUUGAAGGCUGGGACAUAUAUAGGAACUUCUGAUAGGUGGGGUAGAGGAUGGAAGAGAAAGAGAGGAGUCAGUGAUGACAUUUUGAUCCGAGUGACUACAAGAAUGGAAUUCUCUACCAUCUCCUCCAGAAGAUAAAGGCAGAGUGAAUACUUUGUAACUGAUUCUACAAGGCCAGCAUUACCCUAAUACCAAAACCAAAGAUAGUAUAAGAGAAGAAAGUUGCAGGCCAAUAUCUCCCAGGAACAUCGACACAAAAAUCCUCAAAAAAUUAGCAAUAGUAAUUCAACAAUGUAUAAAAAGAAUCAUAUAUCAAAACCAGGUGGGAUUUUUCCAAGGUAUGCAAGAUUGGCUCAACUUUUAAAAAUUGAUUUGUGUAACCCAUCACAUCAACAGGCUAAAGAAAAAAAAACAUGAUCAUAACUAGACACAGAAAAAGCAAGGGACAAAUCUAACAUCUGUUCAUGUUGAAAACUCUCAGAAAAUUAGGAAUAGAGGGGAACUUCCUCAACUUGAUAAGGAUUGUCUACAAAAAUGUGAAACUAGCAUCAUACUUAAUGGAAAGAAACUCAAAGAUUCCCACUAAGAUGAAGAACAAAGCAAGGAUGUCUCCUCUCACCAUUCACCACUGUUGUGAAGACUUUCAUGAGUAAAACUAAUGAACUCUGAAAAAAGAUAGAAAGGAAAUAAAUAAAUGGGGAAAUGUUAUAAAAACUCAAUAUUAUCAAGAUAGAAUUUCUUCCCAACUUGAUUUAUUCACUGCAAUCCAAUCAAAAUCCCAGUGAAUUAUUUUAUGGAUCUGAUAAACCAGUUCAUAUGUAGAGGCCAAAGACCCCAAGUAGCCUAUACAAUAUUGAAGGAAAAGAACAAUCUUGUCAACAAAUGGUGCUGGAACAAUUGGAUAUCCACACACCAAAGGCUGAAUCUAGGCACAGAUCUUACACCCUUCUCAAGAAUUAACUCAACAAGAUCAUAGAUCUAAAGGCAAAACAGAAAAUUAUAGAACUAGAAGAUAACAUAAAGGUAUGGCAGUUACUUUUUUAGAUGCACCACUAAAAUAAUAAUCCAGGAAGGAAAGAAUUGGUGAACUUGACUUUAUUAAAACUAAAAACUUCUUCUCUGCUAAAGACAGUGUUAAGAUAAUGGGAAGAGAAGGCACAGAUUGGGAGAAGAUAUUUGUAAGACAUAUCUGAUGAAAGACAGCUUUCCAAAAUAUACAGUUUCUCAAAAUGAAUUCUCAGUUUCUUAACAAUAAGGAAAUAAACAAUCAUAUUUUAAAAUGGGCAAAAGCCUGAACAGACCCUUCCCCAAAGAAGAUACAUUAUGAAAGUAAACAUGAAAAUAAUGUUUAACAUCAUAUGUCAUUAGAGAAUUGCAAAUUAUGACACAGUGAGUUACCACUACACACCUAUUAGAAUGUCCAAAAUAUAAAACACUGACCACAGCAGACAUUGGCUAGAAUGUGGGGGCACAGGGACUCUCACUCAAAGGCCAGUUGGUGUAUAAAAUGGUAGACACUUGAGAAGGUAGUUUGGCAGUUUCUCAAAAACUUAACAUAUUCUUACCAUAUGAUGCAACAAUUGCACCCCUUGGCAUUUACCCAAAUAAGUUAAAAAAAACUUAUGUUCAAUUGCGACUUUUUUUUAUAACUACUCAAAUUUGGAAGUUACAAAGAUGUCUGUCAGUAGGUGAAUGGAUAAACUGUAGUACAUUGGACAAAGGAAUAUUAUUCUGUGCUGAAAAUAAAUGAGCUAUCAAACUAUUAAAAAGAUAUGGUGGAACCUUAAGUCCACCUUGCCAAGUGAAAGAAGCCAAUCUGAAAAGACUGAGAACAGUAUGAUUCCAACUGUGGAAGAGUCUGAAAAAAAAAUUACAGUAGAAAGAUUCAGUGGUUGAUAAGGGUUUGGGUUGAAGAGGUAUGGGAGGGAGCACUCAGCAGAAUGUAAAGGAUUUUUAGGGCAAUAAAACUACUCUGCUACCAUAAUAGUGGAUACACAUCGUCAUACAUUUGUGCAAAUCUAUACAGCACCACGUAAGAACCCUAACUUAAACAAUAGACUGGCUGACACUGAUGCAUCAUUGUGGGUUCAUUGAUGAGAACACACACGCCACUGGGGCGUGGGAUGUCAGUGCUGCAGGAGGUGCAUGUGUGGGGAAAGGGUAGUAUGUGAAAACUCUGUGCUUCCUGCUGUUUUGCUGUGAACCGGAAGCUGCUCUAAAAAUAAAGUUUAUUAAUUUAAAAAGUAAUACUUGGAAUUUUUAAAACACAAAUGAAUUAUGUAGUUACAAUCUACUAAAACUAUGAAUGCAUGAAGCGAUUUUGCUUGUGAAGGCAAAUAAGCUCUUUAAUAAGAAAUUUUAUUCCUGAUACAAUGUGCUGCUGUGUUAAAUACAGAGGUCUCAUAACUAGUAAAUGUUCAACAUGUGAGUUCAGUGACAAGGAGGAAUGAAUAAAAAUGAAGCUCCUUCAGUGAGACUAAGCCUUGCAACAGCUAUUCAUAGUCACUAAUUUAAGGUCUGUAUAAAUCAGGAAAGUCAUGAAUGAUAAGUGGUAAGCAACAAACCACUCUGUGGAUUUGGGCCUCGCGGUGGUUUAAAAUCACAUUGCAAUUUGGUGUCACCAGCAACUGAAAUUUGAUUAUAGUCUAGUUGCCUGCCAAGGUAAGGCCUUACCAUCACCCUCUGUAAACAGCCCCAAGCUCUGGUUAUACAGGGACACUUUAAAGGAGCUGCACUUGGGAGGCAGUUAGUAAGGAAAAAAAAAAGGAAGAGAGAAAGAAUCAUGACAAAGAAAAUGUCAAACUAUAGAGCAAUUAUAAAGAAAACACGAGAAUAAAUCGAAAACCUAAGAAGGGGAAGAAAAACCAUGAACAAGGAGAGUAAGAGAAAUGGAAAGGCCAUAGUGUGAGUAGAAAGAAGUGUUAAUGGAAGGCAGGUCAAAUUUGAAAGGAAAAUAGAACAAAAAAGCAAAGUAAAAGGAGUGGAAUCUGCAACAGGAACACUGUACCACACCGCAUCGUCUCUUCCACCCUGCGACCUUAGAGUCAUUUGCUGAUACCUCAGCUCUGAGGUUUUCAACCAGGGCUGCCCCCAGUGCACCCUCCCACCAGGAGAGAGCUAGCAAAGACUGCAGAUGUUUUCAGUUGUCACAGUUGAGGGGGUGCCAUGCUACCUAGUGAGUAAAGACCCGGGAUGCUGCUAAAUAUCCUGAGAUGCACAGCACAGCUCUCACCCACCCCUGAAGAAUCCUGUGGCCUCUAGCUGAAGUGACGAGGCUGACAGACUGCGUUGGUCCAUUGUCAGCUCACAUUCCAGGCUCCCAACAACUGUGCUUCUCAUCUGUCCACCUUUUUCUGACCUGUAUACAUGUCAGGCUAAAUCCAUGUUGAGUCAAUGGUCAGACCUCAUUAGAAACUAAAAUGGGGCUAAGGACGUUUAUCCAGAAUGAGAAUCCUUUCUGUGUUCUUCUUUCAGCAGAUGCAGCGAGGGCCUGCCUUGGGCUCACCACUGCUAGCACUCUUAGAGGCUACCUAGGCUCAAAGACCAGACUCCACAUAUUAGUGGCUGUUGGAGUGAGGGGCUGGAGGGGAAAGGGAGGUAUGUGACUGUAAAGUCAUGGUACAAGGGAUAUCUUUAUGGUGAAUUACUCCUGUGUCUCUGUUGCAGUAGUGGUCACAUGUGAUAGAGCCUCAUGGAACUUGGGGCUCAUUGCAUCAAUGUCAGGGUCCUGGUGCUGAUAUUUUAUUAUAGUUUAUGUGGGGUGUAACCAUUUGGGGGAAUUUGGGGAAGGAAAUGCAAGACCUCUCUCUACUGGCUUUGUAUCCUUCUGUGAAUUGGUACUUACUUCAGAAUAAAGUGUUUCAAAAAACAAGCCUUUUUUAAAAAGGGGCUAGGUGGGGGCAUGCCUCUGAUCCUAGCUCCUCCAAUGAUUGAGACAGGAGGAUCACAAAUUCAAGGCCAACCUGGAAAAACAACCAGCUGGGAAUGCACCUCAGUGGCAGAGCACUAGCCUAGCAUUUGAGAGGCCCUGGGUUCAAUUCCAAUACUGCAAACAAAAACAAGAUUGGCCAAACAAUGAAAGAUAUGAUUUUAACUGGGAUAGGCAGGAAUAGCUGUUCAGAUUUCCCAGUGGAAAGACCUGGUUUUGUAUUAAAAGUGACCUAUUUGGAUGCAGUGCCAAUAGGAAAUAAAUGUGUCCUCUUGUGGAAUCAAAAUUCUCCUCUUUCAGCAGAAGAUCUAUAUUGUAAAGUCUAGCAGAAAAGUCGUGUCAUAUCUAAUACUACUCAAUUGCAUGUUUCAUUACAGGGACAAGCAGAUCUUUUGAAAUAUGCAAAGAACGAGACUUUGGAGAACCUGAAACAAAUCCAUUAUGCUGCUGUUUCAUGUGGACUGAAUAAACCAGGCACUGAGAACACUGAGAAACCACGCCGGAGCCUGGAAGUCAUACACGAAAAAGCAAAUGAUGAAACUGGAGAAUGAGGAAGCUGCCUGUCAAUCAUUAUGGAGUUUAUAACUCUAGGACCAAUCAUAGUCAAACGAGACAUUGGCUUUGCACUCCCUAACGAGAAUAAUAUUUGGGAUUUUAAAGCACAACUGGAAUAUCUAAUUACAGUCUAUUAAAACUGUGAAUGUAUGUAGCAGUCUUAUGUGUGAAGGCAAAUAAACUCUUUAACAAGAAAUUAUAUAUCCCUGGCCCAAAUAUGCUAUAUUUGUAUACAAAAACCUCCUAAUUCAGUUCCAGUGUGAAGAACAGAUUGUUCCCUCUAGUUCUCUUGAGAAAAAUUUUCCCAAGUGAAAAUAAUUUCUUCAAAUGAUAAUGGAUUGGAUUGUCAAAUUAGUAUUUAUUGGUGAAAAAAAAAUCUAAUCUAUUGCUUUUUACUUAUGUGUGGUUGCCAGAGUUUCUGGGUUAUAGAUGCUUUGGGUAGCAUGCUUGCUGAGCCAUAAUUACUGAGGAGAAUGUAAGUGGGCAGGUCCCCUGAAUCCCCAGGAACCCCGGAGAGCCACCGAGGACCUGGAACGUGCAGUUGGACUGAAGCUCCCUGGCUGAGGAUGUGCUGUGGCAGCAUAUGAUCAACAAAUGAUGCAAAAGCAACUAAUCUGAAAGUGACACAUUGUAAAUAGUUUCUCCUUGUAUGAAGUAGUGUUCACAUUAAAGAGAUGUUUUAUGAUAUUUCUCCAACAGCAGUACCUGCUUUUAAUGAAAUUUUAACAUUUCUAGUUCAAAAUUGUCUAUUCUUGAGUGGCUAGUUUAUUGUUGAAUGGAUCAUUAUGUGCUCAAAAUAAGCUACUUAUCUGGCUUGACUGUGCUUUUAGUAGGGUUUCAACAGCAUGGGGAAGAGGCAGUUGACUGUAAAGUGAACCCAAACCCCCACAGCCGUCCCUGUAGGGCUCCUGGAUUAACCCCCUAGUAAAGGACACCUCAAAAUCAGGCAAAUAGCAAAUUGAACACAGCUACAGAGCCUGGAGCUGAUAGAGCUUUCCUACAAGUCUGCAGGGGACAAAUCCCCAUGUUUUUUUGUUUUUCUGAAAAAGUCUUAUUUCCCCUUCACCUCUGAAGGGUACUUUUACACCAGCUGAGAUUUUAAUCCAGGCUUUUAUUUCCAAAACCAGUGAGACUUCAUGCUGCUUUCACAGAAACCUAAUUACUGCUUCUCCCAAACCAAAAUUGCUUUCAAAUCUGGAAGACUAAAAGUUCUCAAAAAAUAUUCAAUGGCCCCUUUUUUCUGUCCAGUGAUUCAGAUAUGUGAUCCUGGUACCUGUAUCUCUUUCCCAGCUGGGUAUCUCAGUAUUGUGUUUCCUCGUGGUUAAGGAGAUACCCAGGCAGGUAUAGUUCAGUUACUUUUCCCCAGGCUCCUGAACACCCUCUUAAAAAAUAAUUCCUUUGCUCAAUUCCUGCCAUGUACAUUCUAAUAGAAUACUUAAGCUAAGGUGCCC